rnacentral:rRNA from 1 species
GACGAACGCUGGCGGCGUGCCUAACACAUGCAAGUGGAGCGACGAACCAGGCUUCGGCCUGGGGCAGAGCCGCGAACGGGUGAGUAACACGUGGGUAACCUGCCCUGAUGAUUGGGACAACCCGAGGAAACUCGGGCUAAUACCGAAUGUGCCCUCCGGCCUCAAGGCCGCUAGGGAAAGGAAGCUUCGGCCUCCGCAUCGGGAUGGGCCCGCGGCCCAUUAGCUUGUUGGUGAGGUAANGGCUCACCAAGGCAACGAUGGGUAGCUGGUCUGAGAGGACGAUCAGCCACACUGGGACUGAGACACGGCCCAGACUCCUACGGGAGGCAGCAGUGGGGAAUCUUGCGCAAUGCGCGAAAGCGUGACGCAGCAACGCCGCGUGGGGGAAGAAGGCCUGG